rnacentral:lncRNA from 1 species
UGGGACAAGUGAUCUUUUGACCUGCAGUGUCAUUGGCUAUUCGUAGCGAGACUAUUGAGUUUGACUGCACGUUUUCUUGAUCCCUAGCCAUUCGGAUCCUUACUGUAUAUGUUGGCUUCAGUAGGUUCAGGUUCGCUGUUUGAAGUAGGAUAUAUCUAGAUGGAAUCUAUUGAUCUUGGUAGAAAAAGAGAAGUCGUAUGCGAUUUGUGAGAUUGAGCUUAAAAAAUUUUUGGCCAA